GAUGAACGCUGGCGGCGUGCCUAAUACAUGCAAGUCGAGCGAACAGACGAGGAGCUUGCUCCUCUGACGUUAGCGGCGGACGGGUGAGUAGCACGUGGAUAACCUACCUAUAAGACUGGGAUAACUUCGGGAAACCGGAGCUAAUACCGGAUAAUAUAUUGAACCGCAUGGUUCAAUAGUGAAAGACGGUUUUGCUGUCACUUAUAGAUGGAUCCGCGCCGCAUUAGCUAGUUGGUAAGGUAACGGCUUACCAAGGCGACGAUGCGUAGCUGACCUGAGAGGAUGAGCAGCCACACUGGGACUGAGACACGGCCGAGAAUCCUACGGGAGGCAGCAGUGGGGAAUAUUGGACAAUGGGCGAAAGCCUGAUCCAGUAAUGCCGCGUGAGUGAUGAAGGCCUUAGGGUUGUAAAGCUCUUUUAACCGGGAUGAUAAUGACAGUACCGGGAGAAUAAGCGCCGGCUAACUCCGUG
rnacentral:rRNA from 1 species